UGGGGAAUAUUGGACAAUGGGCGCAAGCCUGAUCCAGCCAUACCGCGUGGGUGAAGAAGGCCUUCGGGUUGUAAAGCCCUUUUGUUGGGAAAGAAAUCCUGUCGAUUAAUACUCGGUGGGGAUGACGGUACCCAAAGAAUAAGCACCGGCUAACUUCGUGCCAGCAGCCGCGGUAAUACGAAGGGUGCAAGCGUUACUCGGAAUUACUGGGCGUAAAGCGUGCGUAGGUGGUGGUUUAAGUCUGCUGUGAAAGCCCUGGGCUCAACCUGGGAAUUGCAGUGGAUACUGGAUCACUAGAGUGUGGUAGAGGGAUGCGGAAUUUCUGGUGUAGCAGUGAAAUGCGUAGAGAUCAGAAGGAACAUCCGUGGCGAAGGCGGCAUCCUGGGCCAACACUGACACUGAGGCACGAAAGCGUGGGGAGCAAACAGGAUUAGAUACCCUGGUAGUCCACGCCCUAAACGAUGCGAACUGGAUGUUGGGUGCAACUUGGCACCCAGUAUCGAAGCUAACGCGUUAAGUUCGCCGCCUGGGGAGUACGGUCGCAAGACUGA
rnacentral:rRNA from 1 species